UCAACUUAUUGUCUAAUGAAUCCACAAACUUGCUUGUGCAACAUAUUACACUCUUCAUCUGUUUUGUUAUCAGGCUUUACGGUGAUAAAGACUGGUUUGUAAUUUUUUUUGACAUAAAGCAGAUCUUCUAUUUUCCCCUUCCAAAUGACAUAAUUAACACCAUUCAAAGUAACUAUUCUACUUGUGUUGGCUUCCAUCGUUUAUCCCCAAAAAAUAUAGUUAUUACAAACCAAAGUAAAUAUUUUAUGAUGUGGAAGUUCAGACUAUGCUACAACCACAGAGCAUACUCAGAUAAAACAUUGGCUCUGAUACAAUUUGUUGGAAAAAACGCGGACGAACACAA
rnacentral:lncRNA from 1 species